GCCUUUUGUAUUUUCACUGACUCAUAUUUCCUUUACUCAGGCUCCCACAUCAGGGCGUGAAGGAGCCCACGAGUUACCGUGGGAGCUGUGGGAGCUGCCCUGUGACUGUUAGGAAGAUGCCGUACCUUGGCUCCGAGGACGUGGUGAAGGAGGUGAAGAAGGCUCUGUGUAAUCCUCACAUUCAAGCUGAUAGGCUGCGCUACCGGAAUGUCAUCCAGCGAGUGAUUAGGUACAUGACUCAAGGCUUGGACGUGUCUGGUGUUUUUAUGGAAAUGGUGAAGGCCAGUGCCACUGUAGAUAUUGUCCAGAAGAAGUUGGUUUAUCUGUACAUGUGCACAUAUGCUCCCCUGAAACCAGAUCUGGCUCUCCUGGCCAUCAAUACGCUGUGCAAAGACUGCUCAGACCCCAAUCCAAUGGUGCGAGGGCUGGCGUUACGGAGCAUGUGUAGCCUCAGGAUGCCUGGUGUGCAGGAGUAUAUACAACAGCCUAUUCUCAACGGUCUGCGGGAUAAGGCUUCAUAUGUCAGGAGAGUGGCAGUCCUUGGAUGUGCCAAGAUGCAUAAUCUUCAUGGAGACUCUGAAGUAGGAUGUCAAAACUGGACCAAUGGGGCCAAGCUGAAGUAUUGAACUUUCUGCUACGCUACCAACCCCGCAGUGAGGAAGAACUAUUUGACAUUCUCAAUCUGUUGGAUAGUUUCCUCAAGAGCAGUAGCCCAGGUGUGGUGAUGGGAGCUACCAAACUUUUUCUGAUCUUGGCAAAAAAGUUUCCCCACGUACAAACUGAUGUCCUUGUGCGGGUCAAGGGACCUUUGCUAGCUGCCUGUUCUUCAGAGAGCCGUGAGCUCUGUUUUGUUGCUCUUUGUCAUGUACGCCAGAUCUUGCAUAGUUUACCAGGUCACUUUAGCAGCCACUACAAAAAGUUUUUUUGCUCCUACUCGGAGCCCCACUACAUCAAACUACAGAAAGUGGAGGUGCUGUGUGAGCUGGUGAACGACGAGAAUGUGCAGCAGGUGCUAGAGGAGCUUCGAGGGUACUGCACGGAUGU
rnacentral:sRNA from 1 species